rnacentral:lncRNA from 1 species
AUAUUCCUGUUUCUCUAAGUCUGUCAGAUGACCCUGGCCAGUAGGCUGAAGACCGAUGCUCCAAUGUGUUGAAGUAAGGGACUGUCCAGGUGAUCAGCGGUCUCUAUAAAUUGGUUAAGUUUUGGAAGCUGUGUUAGGCUUCCUAUAUAUUUUCAGUUAUAUCCAUCGUUCUUGGAUUUCUGAUGGGGUUGAAGAUGUGGAUGAUGGUAGUGUAGUGGUAGAUUGGCCCAAUUGAGGCACACAGCAUGUAUACAUAUUAACUGAGUCGUGUUUUCAUUGCCAGGGCACAUUUGGGUUGGAGAUUUACCGCGACAGAUCUUUAUCCCAGAUGUCUUCAGUGACAGCCAUCACUGACCUCCAUGUUGGCUGCUUAUGAUUAGGGUCAUAAAUCAGCACAGUGCAAUCUGACCAACCGGCAGUUCCAGAUGUCUAAUGCAGAGUGACUUUAGUUGGUUGACAUCAAGGUGUGGGCAUGUCUCCAUUAAUUGUGGGUUCUCUUGGGGAGAAUCAUUUACUUCUGGUUUUCAAGAUUUUAAUUGUCUGUGUGUGUAUUUGUGUACAUGUUCGUACAUGUAUGUACACAUGUGUGUACAUGCAUGUGGAGGCCAGAAGUCAACAAUGAGUACCUUCUUCUAUAACUGUCCAUUGGAUUUUCUAGGACAGGGUCCCUCUCUGAAGCUGGAGCUCACCAAUUUGAGUAGAAUGACUGGUCAUCAAGACCCAGAGACCUUCUGUCUUUCCCUUCCCAGCUCAGGAAUCAUCU